GACGAACGCUGGCGGCGUGCUUAACACAUGCAAGUCGAACGGUAAGGCCCUUCGGGGUACACGAGUGGCGAACGGGUGAGUAACACGUGGGUGAUCUGCCCUGCACUUCGGGAUAAGCCUGGGAAACUGGGUCUAAUACCGGAUAGGACCACUGCCUGCAUGGGUGGUGGUGGAAAGCUUUUGCGGUGUGGGAUGGGCCCGCGGCCUAUCAGCUUGUUGGUGGGGUGAUGGCCUACCAAGGCGACGACGGGUAGCCGGCCUGAGAGGGUGACCGGCGACACUGGGACUGAGAUACGGCCCAGACUCCUACGGGAGGCAGCAGUGGGGAAUAUUGCACAAUGGGCGCAAGCCUGAUGCAGCGACGCCGCGUGAGGGAUGACGGCCUUCGGGUUGUAAACCUCUUUCAGCACCGACGUAGCGCAAGUGACGGUAGGUGCAGAAGAAGGACCGGCCAACUACGUGCCAGCCGCCGCGGUAA
rnacentral:rRNA from 1 species